rnacentral:rRNA from 1 species
GGAAGUAAAAGUCGUAACAAGGUCUCCGUAGGUGAACCUGCGGAGGGAUCAUUACUGAGUUUACAACUCUCAAACCAUGUGAAUUUACCACUGUUGCCUCGGUGGUUGGUAUUCCUUAGGGGGUACCACCGCCGGCGGACCACUAAACUCUUGUUAAUAUACGUCAUUCUGAAUCAUAACUAAGAAAUAAGUUAAAACUUUCAACAACGGAUCUCUUGGUUCUGGCAUCGAUGAAGAACGCAGCGAAAUGCGAUAAGUAAUGUGAAUUGCAGAAUUCAGUGAAUCAUCGAAUCUUUGAACGCACAUUGCGCCCAUUAGUAUUCUAGUGGGCAUGCCUGUUCGAGCGUCAUUUCAACCCUUAAGCCUAGCUUAGUGUUGGGAGACUGCGCUAAACCGCAGCUCCUCAAAACCAGUGGCGGAGUCCUCUCGUGCUCUGAGCGUAGUAAUUUCUUAUCUCGCUUCUGUAACACGGUGGUCGACGGCCAUAAACCGCACCCUCUCGGGGGGCACUUUUUUAAUGGUUGACCUCGGAUCAGGUAGGAAUACCCGCUGAACUUAAGCAUAUCAAUAAGCGGAGGAA